rnacentral:tRNA from 1 species
GGACGGGUAGCUCAGUUGGUAGAGCAGCGGACUGAAAAUCCGCGUGUCGGCGGUUCAAAUCCGCCCCCGUCCA